CAGGACGAACGCUGGCGGCGUGCUUAACACAUGCAAGUCGAACGGAAAGGCCCUUCGGGGUACUCGAGUGGCGAACGGGUGAGUAACACGUGGGUGAUCUGCCCUGCACUUUGGGAUAAGCCUGGGAAACUGGGUCUAAUACCGGAUAGGACUACGGCCUGCAUGGGUUGUGGUGGAAAGCUUUUGCGGUGUGGGAUGGGCCCGCGGCCUAUCAGCUUGUUGGUGGGGUGAUGGCCUACCAAGGCGACGACGGGUAGCCGGCCUGAGAGGGUGUCCGGCCACACUGGGACUGAGAUACGGCCCAGACUCCUACGGGAGGCAGCAGUGGGGAAUAUUGCACAAUGGGCGCAAGCCUGAUGCAGCGACGCCGCGUGGGGGAUGACGGCCUUCGGGUUGUAAACCCCUUUCAGCACAGACGAAGCGCAAGUGACGGUAUGUGCAGAAGAAGCACCGGCCAACUACGUGCCAGCAGCCGCGGUAAUACGUAGGGUGCGAGCGUUGUCCGGAAUUACUGGGCGUAAAGAGCUCGUAGGUGGUUUGUCGCGUUGUUCGUGAAAACUCACAGCUUAACUGUGGGCGUGCGGGCGAUACGGGCAGACUGGAGUACUGCAGGGGAGACUGGAAUUCCUGGUGUAGCGGUGGAAUGCGCAGAUAUCAGGAGGAACACCGGUGGCGAAGGCGGGUCUCUGGGCAGUAACUGACGCUGAGGAGCGAAAGCGUGGGGAGCGAACAGGAUUAGAUACCCUGGUAGUCCACGCCGUAAACGGUGGGUNCUAGGUGUGGGUUUCCUUCCUUGGGAUCCGUGCCGUAGCUAACGCAUAA
rnacentral:rRNA from 1 species